GAUCGCUCCGUCACAACUCUGACAACGUGGGGGAGGGGAAGGGAAUCCCAUGGACGCAACUAACUGUCAAGCUGUCUGAGGGUAUCGGCACGGUCACAACUGUGUCAGACUGGCGGAGGUGAUUGCAGGGUCACAACUCUGAAGCUGGGAAGGGGAUCGCAGGGACACAACUAUACCAAGCUGGGGAAGGGGAUCGCACGGAUACAACUAUGCCAAGCUGGGGAAGACCACACAUACCUCUUAACGUCUUGAGCAAUAAAUCUGGACCCUUUAACAGCGCUGUUUCUGAGGCUGAUAUCUUACACUGAUACUUUUCCGAACACUGUUGCCCCGUUAUCCGUUAACGGAAAAGUACCCACAAAUUGAUAGAUUAAGAGCUGUAUGUAUAAUUUCCAGCGCAGAAGAAGACGAGCGAAGUGCAGUGCGACAUGGCUCCAAGCAUACUUACAACUGCACUACAGAUGAGAUCAAUGCCUGCAACUGCACUGCAGAUGAGAUUAGUGUCUACAACUGCACUACAGAUGAGAAUGUGAUCAGCUUGGAAUGUUUCCAUCCUGGCAAAAAAUGUUUCACAGAAAUUUCGACAUUC